rnacentral:rRNA from 1 species
UACGGAGGGGGCUAGCGUUGUUCGGAAUUACUGGGCGUAAAGCGUACGUAGGCGGCUUUGUAAGUUAGAGGUGAAAGCCCGGAGCUCAACUCCGGAAUUGCCUUUAAGACUGCAUCGCUAGAACGUCGGAGAGGUGAGUGGAAUUCCGAGUGUAGAGGUGAAAUUCGUAGAUAUUCGGAAGAACACCAGUGGCGAAGGCGACUCACUGGACGACUGUUGACGCUGAGGUACGAAAGCGUGGGGAGCAAACAGG